rnacentral:tRNA from 1 species
UCUAAUAUGGCAGACUACAUGCAAUGGAUUUAAACCCCAUUUAUAAAGAAAUGAUCUUUUUUUAGAA